rnacentral:rRNA from 1 species
UACGAAGGGUGCUAGCGUUGUUCGGAAUCACUGGGCGUAAAGCGCGCGUAGGUGGCUUGCUAAGUCAGAGGUGAAAUCCCAGGGCUUAACCCUGGAAUUGCCUUUGAAACUGGUAAGCUUGAGUACUGGAGAGGAUGGUGGAAUUUCUAAUGUAGCGGUGAAAUGCGUAGAUAUUAGAAGGAACACCGGUGGCGAAGGCGACCAUCUGGACCGUAAUUGACACUGAGGCGCGAAAGCGUGGGGAUCAAACAGG